UUCGUGCAUUGCGGAAGAUUCGUUACUGCUGCCUCCCGUAGGAGUACUCAUACGGGAGGCAGCAGUGGGGAAUUUUGCGCAAUGGGGGAAACCCUGACGCAGCAACGCCGCGUGGAGGAUGAAGCCCUUUGGGGCGUAAACUCCUUUCGAUCGGGACGAUUAUGACGGUACCGGAUGAAGAAGCCCCGGCUAACUCCGUGCCAGCAGCCGCGGUAAUACGAAGGGGGCUAGCGUUGCUCGGAAUCACUGGGCGUAAAGCGUGCGCAGGCGGUUCUCCAAGUCCGUUGUGAAAGCCCCGGGCUCAACCUGGGAAUGGCAGUGGAAACUAGGGGACUGGAAUCUGGCAGAGGGGGGUGGAAUGCCGCGUGUAGCAGUGAAAUGCGUAGAGAUGCGGCGGAACACCGAUGGCGAAGGCAGCCCCCUGGGCUGAGAUUGACGCUCAGGCACGAAAGCGUGGGGAGCAAACAGGAUUAGAUACCCUGGUAGUCCACGCCCUAAACGAUGGCAACUAGGUGUUGGGGAAGCGAUUUCCUGGUACCGCAGCUAACGCGUGAAGUUGCCCGCCUGGGGAGUACGGUCGCAAGAUUAAAACUCAAAGGAAUUGACG
rnacentral:rRNA from 1 species